rnacentral:rRNA from 1 species
GACGAACGCUGGCGGCGUGCUUAACACACGCAAGUCGAACGGAAAGGCCCUGCUUUUGUGGGGUGCUCGAGUGGCGAACGGGUGAGUAACAAGUGAGUAACCUGCCCUUGACUUUGGGAUAACUUCAGGAAACUGGGGCUAAUACCGGAUAGGAGCUCCUGCUGCAUGGUGGGGGUUGGAAAGUUUCGGCGGUUGGAGAUGGACUCGCGGCUUAUCAGCUUGUUGGUGGGGUAGUGGCUUACCAAGGCUUUGACGGGUAGCCGGCCUGAGAGGGUGACCGGCCACAUUGGGACUAAGGUAGGGACCAGACGCGAACGGGAGGCAGCGGGGGAAAGUAUUGCGCAGUGGGCGGAAGCGUGAUACAGCAGCGCCGCGUGCGGGAAGACGGCCUUCGGGUUAAGAACAGCUUUGGACUGUAACGAGGCGUGAGUGACGGUAAUGAAUCAGAAAGCACCGGCUAACUACGUG